GUCGAGAAUUUUUCUCAAUGGGCGAAAGCCUGAAGGAGCGACGCCGCGUGGGGGAUGAAUGGCUUCGGCCCGUAAACCCCUGUCAUUUGCGAUCAAACCCCGUUAUUUAAAAGAUGACGGGCUGAUAGUAGCGAAAGAGGAAGGGACGGCUAACUCUGUGCCAGCAGCCGCGGUAAUACAGAGGUCCCAAGCGUUGUUCGGAUUCACUGGGCGUAAAGGGUGCGUAGGCGGCCGGGUAAGUCUGCUGUGAAAUCCCGCAGCUCAACUGCGGAACUGCAUUGGAUACUAUCCGGCUAGAGGAAUGGAGGGGAGACUGGAAUUCUCGGUGUAGCAGUGAAAUGCGUAGAUAUCGAGAGGAACACCAGUGGCGAAGGCGAGUCUCUGGACAUUUCCUGACGCUGAGGCACGAAAGCCAGGGGAGCAAACGGGAUUAGAUACCCCUGUAGUCC
rnacentral:rRNA from 1 species